UCAUCCUCCAAGACUGACUUCAUUUGAGUUCAUUUGUUAACAGGCCAAAAACCUAUGGGGGACUGCACAGAGUAUUGUCCACGUUCAACGGUUGAAAUGGAUGAGAGAGAAGUUGCCAUCAGGAGAUCUCUCGGCUCCAUUGCAGGUGCAAACAGAAAUUACAGCCUUUGUCCUUCAAGUCUCAGGUUUGCUUUAUUUUUUUAUUUUUUAUUUUUUUUGAGAUGGAGUCUUGCUCUGCCACCCAGGCUGGAGUGCAGUGGCGUGAUCUCAGCUCACUGCAAGUUCUACCUCAUGGGUUCAUGCUGUUCUCCUGCCUCAGCCUCCCGAGUAGCUGGGACUACAGGCACCCACCACCAUGCCCGGCUAAUUUUUUGUAUUUUUAGUAGAGAUGGAGUUUCACCAUGUUAGCCAGAUGAUCUUGA
rnacentral:lncRNA from 10 species